rnacentral:rRNA from 1 species
AUACGUAGGUGGCAAGCGUUGUCCGGAAUUAUUGGGCGUAAAGCGCGCGCAGGUGGUUCCUUAAGUCUGAUGUGAAAGCCCCCGGCUCAACCGGGGAGGGUCAUUGGAAACUGGGGAACUUGAGUGCAGAAGAGGAUAGUGGAAUUCCAAGUGUAGCGGUGAAAUGCGUAGAGAUUUGGAGGAACACCAGUGGCGAAGGCGACUGUCUGGUCUGUAACUGACACUGAGGCGCGAAAGCGUGGGGAGCAAACAGGAUUAGAUACCCUGGUAGUCCACGCCGUAAACGAUGAGUGCUAAGUGUUGGGGGGUUUCCACCCCUCAGUGCUGCAGCUAACGCAUUAAGCACUCCGCCUGGGGAGUACGGUCGCAAGACUGAAACUCAAAGGAAUUGACGGGG